UCCUAAUUCCGAUCCUGAUUCCCCUGUAAUUUCCGGGGUUUCAGGACGCUUUAGGAGUUUCCUGGGGUUUCUGGGUCUUGGGACCGGAGGAUCUCAUAGUAUUUCCUGCUCCCUUUCCUCGAGAGCCUUUUCCCCCUGGCUACCUGAGGCCAGAGCUAAUUUUUUCUCAGAGCUUUGCUCCCCGCCUCCUUCUGAGGGCCCUGCAAUUUGUUGCUUCUCCAGUCUUUUCGACUGCACCGAGAUACCUUCCAGCAUCAAUCUUGCCGGCGAGAGCAGCUUUAACGCUGUCUCAUCUUUUUUUGUUGCUAAGAGAUAUAAAUGCCUGUUGAUUUCCUGCCAAAACCCUACUUCGAACAGCAGGCGUGUUUCCGAGAGUGGGUAGUUUAGCCUUACCCACAACAAUAAUUGUUUUAAUUCUUUCUUUGGGAUCCCUUCUGUGUAUGUUGCAGCCACGCCUUGUAAGGCGGACAAAAUUCCCAGCUGUUCCUGGGAGAGUGUGCCCCCCAUGUUCUUAUUUUUGACCUUCUCACCAAAUCUGUCGUCAGAGCGGUCCGGAGGCUCUCGAUCUCCGUCCAGCGGGUCAUGAGGGAUGGAUCCAGGGGUGCCUUUCCUGGUUCCUUUCCGGGCUGCUCUGCUACGAACUGUCUUCGGCAGAAGCUGAGAGAUGGAAUUCUCAGUGACUGCUGUUUUUUGCAGACUCUCCUGGCCGUUUUUUUUUUCCUCUUGUUUUUUUUCCGGCUUCUCUCCUCAGGAGUUAUCAGUGCUCUCCUGGGAAUUCGUCCAAGGCCGGCGCUGCCCUCUCGGCUCUCUCCUGCUCUUCAGUUCUUCAGGGCUGAUCCCCCCCCGAAAGGUUUGGUGGGGAGUAGCACAUGCAGCGGACGCCACUCGCCAGAGCUCUCCUGGCUGAUUUAUGGCCUGGAAAGGCUUGGAGAUGUCCUUGAACAGCCCGCGCUUCAAAGGACAAGAAGAGGCUUCAGGUUUUUUCUCGAUCUUCAGUAUUUAUUAGUUGUUUAUCUAAAAGAUUUUCUCUCGGCCUGACAGAGGUCUGCACAGCAUGUCAGCCAUGAGCACACUGAGAGCCCCCAGGGCGGUCACCUAUCUUUAUACUCAAAAUUACAUAUACAAUAUUUACCUUUUCCCUCCAAUACUUGUCACCCUUAUUGAUCAGUGCACUUCUAGUAAUAACCAAUCCCAAAGUGCCAACAUCACCACAGAAGAUGGAGGCGAAGAAGAAGAAGAAGAAGGACAGGACAUGCCCCAAUUCCUCCAUCUUACUUCUCUAAACCCCCCUGUACAGAAAUCCUAAACCCUGUGUUUUACACUCUAAUCAACUUAUCCCUUCACCAUUUACCCCAGUGAAAUCCUCCCAUCCUCAUACAGGUGUCGUCUCCCUUGCAGGAUCAAAGUCCAGCCACCAGACACUUCUGGCAACAUUCCAGGAUUCCCGAGCCCCCCAAAGGUGGUCUCGGCCUCUCUGCACAUCAGUCCUGAGGUGCUGAGAUCCCACACCAAUAUUCCCAUAACCCAAUGUUCCCAUAUUCCAGUAUCCCUAUUUUUCAAUAUUCCAAGAUUACCCAGUUCCCAUAUCCUAGCAUUCCCAUCUUUUUCUGCAGAAACCACCCCAAAAUUCCUGAGUCCCAUCCCUGUUCUGGCAGCAUGAAAGCCCCCUCAUUUUCCUCAGCUCUGUGAAAGUCCAACUCCUGGAAUUCCUGGAGAAGGAAACAAUAACCCAGGAGUCCCAAAAUAGCUCUGAUUUCCCUUCCUUUCACGGGAGCAGCAGGAUUGGGGUGGGAAAUCCGCUCUCCCGGCCAUCCUGGUUCCUCAAGGGGGAACUCCCCAAAAUCCAGGCCCUGGAGCUCCGGGAGGAGCUGCCUGGAUGGAUUUGGGAUGUUCAGGGUGUUGAUUCCAUGCAGGAUUUCCUUCCCACCUUGUGGAAUUCCCAGCAGACAGGCCCCGAGGAAGGGAAUUUUUGCGGAGGAAGAGCCUGAGCAAGGAGGUUGUUCUGCUCCUGAGGGAUUCCUGCUGGGAUUUAUGGGAGAUAUUUGGGAUGUGGACACUGACCCAUGGUUCUGGCACUCCACAGCUCAUCCCUAUCCUGGAAAACCCUGGAGAUACCCAUCCAAAUCCAGCAUCCAGCUCCUCCCUGUGCCUUCCCAGGCUCUGGAAUGCUCUGGAAUCUGCAGGGACAGACAAUGGGAGCUAAUUGAGCUCUUGAGUAACGCCCAGAAUGUUGAUCAUCACCAAUCCACAUGGAAGAGAAUCUCUGGAGCUGUUUGAGGAGAGGAGGAAAAAAUUGAUUUAUCCCCAACACUGAGUGGGAAAAUGGCUGGAUUUAGGUGGGGUGGGCAGGGCUGGAGCAUCUUGGAUCCCACCAGACUCAUUCCUACUGCAGGGGAACCUCUGGAACAGGUGCAGCACUGGGAAGGUGUCAGGUUUUUAUGGAAUAACCUCCGGAAUUGGUGUCUUCCCAACAUUCAUGCGUGAGGCCAAAGGCUUUUCCCUCAGGAGGUUGGACUGUCCUUCUCUCCAUGGGCUCAAUUUCCAUUUUGUGGGAUGGGAGAAGCCGGCUCUGCCUUGGAAAGGUCUGGAAUGGUCUCUGCACUGCAGUGGGAGCUGCUGGCUCAGCGCAUUCCCGGUGUUCUGCUCACCAAAGGCGCUGCUGGGAAUUCACCCCAGGAACAGGCAGUGGGAAUUUCCUUGUCCAGAGGCUUUGAGGGGUCUUUAACCUUAGAAAAUUUAAGAAAUGGAUUGGAAGUGGAGGCUAAAAUCCCUUUGAUCACCAGCUGAUUUCCCAUUUUUUCUUUCCCCUUUUCCACCCCUUUUCCCCCUCUUUUCGCUCCCCUCUCCUUCCCUUCCCUCUGGAAUUUCUUGGAUCCUUCAUGCACCCCAUCCAUUCCCAGGGAUCUCCAUCUCCAGGAUGCUGCUUGCCCAGUUCCUCACAGCGAAUUCCCCUGACAGACCCCAAGUCAGGGAAUUUUCCCAUAUCCUGGUGGAAAAUGACUCAAUCCCUGUCAGAACAGGAACCCCGGAAUGUUUUUCGUGUCAUGGGGCCCUUGCUUAUCCAUGUUGGCCUGAUGGGAAUUCUGCUUCAUCCUCACGCUUUGCCAGCAGCUCUGCUCUUCUCAAUGGAAGAUUGCCAGAUCCCAGGAUAUCCCAGCCUUUGCCAACAGCUCUGCUUUUCCCAAUAGAAGAAUUCCAGAUCCUGGCCCAGCUGGUGGAUGAGGUGUUUUCCACACUGCCUCCAUUAUAUCCAGGGAAUGUCGCACUGGGCUGAGGAGUCUCUUCCCAGCUCCCUGGAAAAGGGGUGGGAGAGGAAUUCCAUGAGAAAUCCAACCUCCAGCUACCACCCAUUGAAUCCAAAGCUUUUCACACGGUAAUUUCCCAUGGAAUGAAGGAAAAAGAGGCUCUUCCAUCCUGUAGUGGGAAAUGCAACAACCUCCUUCUCCGGGUGAAACCCCUUCCACAUUCCCAAAAAAAGGGAUUUAUCAGAGGGAAGGUGCUCCUGGAAUGCUGCUGGGAAUGGCUCUCCUCAAUUUCCCAUCCAGCUCUAAAGCUGCCAGAAUCAAAGCCAAGGGAUUGGGGGGGACCCUCAGGUGCUGGCUGCCACCUGGGGCUGGCCAGAGCAGGGCUGGGCAAUGGCCAUCCCUGUGCAGCGGGGCUGGGCCAUGGCUGGGCCCCACCCUUGGAUGGCCACAACAACAACAUCAGCCACUCCACAAUACACACCACUGUCCCAACAACAUCACAAUAUUUAAUCAACAAUAUAAUAAUAAUGUAAUAUCAAUUCAUAUAAUAUCCAGCGAAAGUCAACUUCCAUUAACUUAUUUCUCACCAUAUAUACCAGUGAAGAACUGUUAUUCCUGUUCCCACAUCUUUGCCUAAAAGCCCUGUAAUUUCAAAGUUAUAAUAGUUCAGGGAGAAAGGGGUCGUAUUUUCCAUUGCAAGGGAGGUUCCCAUCUUGUUCAGCUUCCCUGACAGAGUUGAACAAAGAAACACCAUUUCUGCCAGUUUAACCAAAGAGCUGCAUUUUUGCCCCAGGAGCAGGGAACCAGGUCCUGUGCCCCCUUGGAACUGGGAUGGGCACCAGUGAGCCACUUUAGUGGGAGCACUGAGGGAGAUUGCAGGGCCACUAAGCACAUGGGGGUUAAGAGGGACAAAUCUGAUUUGGAUUUAUGUCUCAACAUAUGCUACACAUGAGGUGAAAAAUGACUCUGUGGGCUGUCCAUGUGCUGGGAACCCUGUCCCUGGCGAGGCUUCACAAAACAGAUGAUCAGGGGAGAGAUUGGGCUGUAAGUGUGUGCUGGGGGAAGCAAUGAGAGAAGUAAAGAAUGAUGCAAACAAUACCUAUCUCAUUUAAUGUGCUCCUGUGUUGUUCACAAGUGGAAUGCAUUGUGGAAGAUUGUUUACCUGAAGGGAAUUGGUAAAUAGAUUCAGGUGUGAGUGCUUUGAUUCACUGACCAAUUGAAUCCAGGUGUUUGUGUGUGGGGACUGUCGGCUGACAGUCAUGAGAUUGUGUUCAGUGGAGUGCAGUUGAGUGCUUGGCAGAUUCAGUUUAGAUGUAAUGUAAUAUAAUAUAGAAUAAUACAGUAUAAUAGUGUAAUUAAUUAGCCUUUUGAAAAGAUGGAGUCAGAUGCCUCAUUCCUCCUGCACGUUGGGCAAAAAUAUCACUGAUACUCCCCCCCUCAACUUUUCCUUCGGAUGGUCCUUCUUCUAUGUCUGCACCUGUUCCUCCCUGCUUCGCUGCUUCCCCGAGGCAGCUCAUUCCUGCUCCUCCUGGACAUUCCAUCAUUGCUUCCCGAUGGAGCAGAUGCUGCCUGCACCCACCCGCCGCCUCUGCCACGUUUCCUAUGCUGCCCACAGCACCGAGCCUGCUGCACCUGCCCACCGCAGCCCCAGCCCACGGCAGCCAGCCCAGAGCCACCAGUGCCGCAGCACCAGCCUGCAGCCAGCCCGCAGCAGCCAGCCUGCAGCCAUCGCUCGCCCAUGCCAGAGACACGCAGGUGCCGUUGCUUGGAAAUCACACCCAGCCACUCACAAAAGCCAUGUGGGCUCGCCCUGGCUUGCAGCACACACACUCCAUGUGCCCAGAUGAUGCCCACAGAGCACCUGGGCUGCUUGUGGUAACGCUGUCCCUGUCUUCUGUUUCUCUCUCUCUAUCCUUUUCCCUUUCUACUCCCUUCUCUGCCCCUUCAGAAGAAUACUUAUCCUCCUUUAUCAAUAAACAGUUCUCAGAUAUAA